CUUUAGGUCUGAAGGCUUGGGAGCCGAGACUUAUCGAGUCUAGUUGCAUUAAUGAGCCCCAACCUCAUGCAUCCAUGUUAGAGUUUGCCUAGGUUAGAGUCAACCUCACCUUUUUAAGCACAAUUAGGCACGAGGGAAGGGGGUUCCACCCCUUUUAUUGGCUUUUAUCGUAUUUCUUUUCUUAAUUGCUCCCAAUGUGUUAUGUGUACUAUCAAUUGCACUAACCAUUUUUUUUGUUUUCUUGGAUUGCAUUCAUGUGCCUUAGCAAUAAGGGGCAUCUUUGGCACUCUUUUAGUGACUCACCCACUAGAUAGCUCACAUGUCUAAAUUUCAGUCUUUGCACUUACCUUUCAGUAAAUACAUUUCAUGUUUAGACCCUUUCCCCCCGU
rnacentral:lncRNA from 1 species